UACGAAGGGUGCAAACGUUGCUCGGAAUUAUUGGGCGUAAAGCGCACGUAGGCGGCUUUGCAAGUCGGAUGUGAAAUCCCUCGGCUUAACCAAGGAAGUGCAUCCGAAACUGCAGAGCUUGAGUACUUAAGAGGAUCGCGGAAUUCCCGGUGUAGAGGUGAAAUUCGUAGAUAUCGGGAGGAACACCGGUGGCGAAGGCGGGUCUCUGGGCCGUAACUGACGCUGAGGAGCGAAAGCGUGGGGAGCGAACAGG
rnacentral:rRNA from 1 species